ACAUUCAUAUAAUGUUAUGUACAUCAUGUAUCUAAGAUCUAGGUUGUAAUAAUUUGCAGGUUUUCAGAUCUGCUCGCCGAAGACUGUUACGGAACCCUAGCCGCGACCAAUUUCGUUUGAGAUCUAUGGAGUAUUAACUUAUAAGUUUUCAGAUCUGAAAACCUGCUAGUACAACUUUGAUAUCACUAUAAGGAGUGAUUUCUUGCUAGGAUGUUACACUUCAUGGUCUUCAUGCUGCAAAUCCACGGGUAUUAGAAGUAAUUUCAUUUAGAUGGUGAGUCUGCAUCUUUGGCUGAUAGAUAUGGUCUGCCUAUUGGCCCCUCCAAUUGCCACAACCAUUUUCCUGAAGAAACAGAUGCAAUAUAGACUAUCUCAUGGAAUAGAAAAUUGGUGGACAUACAUGAGGACUGACCCUAAAGGUUUGGAUGAGAUUUACAAGCUGACCGAGGCUUGAAGGCUGAAAGUAGAGGUGCAAAAGACAUUCUUAAUUACGCAAGUUCAAGAGGCACACAUUGAAAAAAAAAACAGAAGGAUAAUUCCUGAUGGUAAAAGAUUAGUGUUAAGGACAAGUGAUUGUUAAGAGCCGGUUCAGAUUCAAAUCAAAGUGAAUUUUAGAAGUUAUAAAGAUGGUAAUUUUGACGUUUUGAGGUCAAACAGAGACAUUCAACUCCUUUAUUAUACUAAGGUCAUGAAAUAUCAAUAAAAUCUUUUUGAUCACAAUAAACUUACAAACAUAAUACA